GAUAAACGCUGGCGGCAUGCCUAACACAUGCAAGUCGAACGCCCUUUUGCGCAAGUGAGAGGGAGUGGCGGACGGGUGAGUACCACGUGGGUACCUACCUUGAGGUGAGGAAUACCACCGAGAAAUCGGUGACAAGACCGCAUACGCUUGGCAACAAGCAAAGUCUCGCAAGAGACGCCACAAGAUGGGCCUGCGCCUGAUUAGCUAGUUGGUGAGGUAANGGCUCACCAAGGCGACGAUCAGUAGCUGGUCUGAGAGGAUGAUCAGCCACACUGGGAUUGAGAACGGCCCAGACUCCGUACGGGGGC
rnacentral:rRNA from 1 species